CACGUAGGGUGCGAGCGUUGUCCGGAAUUAUUGGGCGUAAAGAGCUCGUAGGCGGUGUGUCGCGUCGGCUGUGAAAACCCGAGGCUCAACCUCGGGCCUGCAGUCGAUACGGGCAGACUAGAGUGCGGUAGGGGAGACUGGAAUUCCUGGUGUAGCGGUGAAAUGCGCAGAUAUCAGGAGGAACACCGGUGGCGAAGGCGGGUCUCUGGGCCGUAACUGACGCUGAGGAGCGAAAGCGUGGGGAGCGAACAGG
rnacentral:rRNA from 1 species